CAGCGCCACGAGUGGGAGCCGUUAUUAUUGGGCCUAAAGCGUCCGUAGCCGGUCUAGUAAAUUUCUUGUGAAAUUAUCAAGCUUAACUUGAUAGCGUGCAGGAAAGACUGCUAGGCUUGGGACCGGGAGGCGUGUGAGGUAUUCCUUGGGGAGCGGUAAAAUGUUAUAAUCCUUGGAAGACCACCUGUGGCGAAGGCGUCACACGAGCACGGAUCCGACGGUGAGGGACGAAAGCUAGGGGAGCGAUCCGGAUUAGAGACCCGAGUAGUCC
rnacentral:rRNA from 1 species